rnacentral:lncRNA from 1 species
ACACCCAGCCCCUCACUGGGGGAUUCUAGGCAGGGGCUCUACCACUGAGCCACACCCCAGCCCCUCACUGGGGGAUUCUAGGCAGGGGCUCUACCACUGAGCCACACCCAGCCCCUCACUGGGGGAAUUCUAGGCGGGGGCUCUACCACUGAGCCACACCCCAGCCCCUCACUGGGGAAUUCUAGGCGGGGGCUCUCCACUGAGCUGUGCCUCCAGCUCUCUCUUGAUUUUGAGACAAGGUCUUACUGAGUUGCUUAGGCUGGCCUGAACCUCACUCUGUAGCCCAGGCUGGCCUUGAACUCUCAUUCUUCCUCCAAUUAGCUCUACUAAGUCACUGGAAUUAUAGACUUACCUCAUACCAAGCUGUUGCUAACACUUUUAACCCAGUCUCCUCCAGCCCUAAAGGGCUAUCUUAGUAUUCUCUUAAAACCCGUGAAGAAACGGCAGCUCUCUCCUGUCUAUCCACAUGAAGGUUUGAUAUGCAGCAGCCACGGGGGUUCUGGCCCCUCCCACAGCCCUCAAGGCUGUCGCUUUCCUGUGGGUUCUCUGACGAGAAGCACUGGCCCUCCGCAGGUCUCCCCUGCCGGUUUCUCUUGUCGCACACUUCUGUCUGGGCAUGGCUGUGUCCAUUACUUGUGGUUUCGGGUCUGCCUGACUUGGCUGGUUCCGGGGACAGGCGAGCUCAGGUUCCGGCUCUGGCUCCCGGGGUCCCGUCUGCCACGGACCCCAGCGCUCGCUCAGCGGCUUCGCAGCCUAGGGCUUCUCUCCAGUGUGAAUUCUCUGACGUUGAAUGAGUUCAGGCCCCGUGCGGCGCUGUUGAUGGUAUCUAGCCGGGCGCAGGGGCGCCGGGACCCUCGGGCCGCCGGCAGGGCGCAUGUUGGAACAGUGCUCAGUGAGUCGGGAGGCCCCAGGGAAACUGCGUUGUGUCCACAGCAGUUGGCGCUGCUCGGGCCGCUGGGCCACACUGAGGCCGCCCGGCUGGAGGUUUGGCCACCCCGACUCUUGUUGGCUUUGGAGUUGGGGUCUCUCCGUGUAGCCCUGGCUGUCCCGGACUCACUGCAGACCAGGCUGGCCUCGAACUCAGAGAUCUGCCUCUGCCGCCGGAGUGCAAGUGCAGGGAUCAAAGGCGUGCGCCGCGGCUGGCGCCACCAACUCUUAAACCACACUUAGUUGCAGAAAAGCGUGUUUGGGCUGUUCCUACCAGUACAAGCGUUGUAACGGUGAAUAAACCUGAUCCAGACUUG